rnacentral:rRNA from 1 species
UUACGGUCAAAUCACGCUGAAACACCGGUUCUCGUACGAUCACCGAAGUUAAGCAGCGUAGAGCCCGGUCAGUACUUAGAUGGGGGACCGCUUGGGAACACCUGGUACUGUAAG